UACGGAGGGUGCAAGCGUUAUCCGGAUUUAUUGGGUUUAAAGGGUGCGUAGGCGGAUUAUUAAGUCAGUGGUGAAAGCCUGCAGCUUAACUGCAGAAUUGCCAUUGAUACUGAUGAUCUUGAGUAUGAUUGAGGUGGGCGGAAUGUGUCAUGUAGCGGUGAAAUGCUUAGAUAUGACACAGAACACCGAUUGCGAAGGCAGCUCACUAAGCCAUAACUGACGCUGAUGCACGAAAGCGUGGGGAGCAAACAGG
rnacentral:rRNA from 1 species